UUCCUAGUGUAGCGGUGAAAUGCGUAGAUAUUAGGAGGAACACCAGUGGCGAAGGCGACUUACUGGACUGUAACUGACGCUGAGUCACGAAAGCGUGGGUAGCAAACAGGAUUAGAUACCCUGGUAGUCCACGCUGUAAACGAUGAGUGCUAGGUGUUGGGUAGCGAUAUUCAGUGCCGAAGUAAACACAAUAAGCACUCCGCCUGGGGAGUACGGUCGCAAGACUGAAACUCAAAGGAAUUGACGGGGACCCGCACAAGCAGCGGAGCAUGUGGUUUAAUUCGAAGCAACGCGAAGAACCUUACCAAGGCUUGACAUCCCCUUGACCGGCACAGAGAUGUGCCCUCUCCUUCGGGAGCAAGGGUGACAGGUGGUGCAUGGUUGUCGUCAGCUCGUGUCGUGAGAUGUUGGGUUAAGUCCCGCAACGAGCGCAACCCUUAUCCUUAGUUGCCAGCAGGUAAAGCUUGGGCACUCUAAGGAGACUGCCGAUGAUAAAUCGGAGGAAGGUGGGGAUGACGUCAAAUCAUCAUGCCCCUUAUGUCUUGGGCUACACACGUGCUACAAUGGUCGGUACAAAGGGCAGCGAAGGAGUGAUCUGGAGCGAGAUCCCAAUAAUCCGAUCCCAGUUCGGAUUGUAGGCUGCAGACUCGCCUACAUGAAGUCGGAGUUGCUGGUAAUCGCGAAUCAGAACGUCGCGGUGAAUGCGUUCCCGGGUCUUGUACACNCCGCCCGUCGCNCCAUGGAAGUUGGUAAUACCCAAAGUCGCUGAGCUAUCCGCAAGGGGGCAGG
rnacentral:rRNA from 1 species